GCGCCAACAUAAACCCAAAACAACCGAAGCAAAGCAAAAGCCAAGUAGCCAACCGAACCAAAGCAGGAGCGAGUCCCUUCUAGAGAGCCCCUUGAGAGUCGCCUGUAGCUUCCCCGAUCCCGCCCGAUCCCCAAUCUCCGACGACGGCGAUGCCGGCCGGACGAGAGAUGGGAGAGGUGUGUGGAGAUCUGUAAAUAGCAGGUCUAGGAUUAGAUCGAGUCUUGCCCAAGUGGUGUCUGGCGCUAUGCCGUGGUGGAGCGCGCCGCCGGCGCACGCGAGCUGCGCCUGGUGGCUAGCGUCGGCGUUUCUGAUGGUUGCGGUGGCGAGGUGCUGCGUGCAACCGGAGGAAAUGACGGCGGCGACUCCUUCAAUAAGCUCGUUGUGUUUCCUGUUAAGGUGGAGGCCCGGCUGCUCUACCCUUUCUUUUCAAGCCAUCGUGGUGGUGGAUGGAGGAAGAAGGAGAGGCGGCGAGCUGGACUUUGCAGUUUGGGAAGGAGCUCAUCCUCAAUGGGUUUGAGACGAGGCAACGGCGCCCGCUUCGGCUGUCGGCAGCCGGUCCUCACCGUCUCGCCAUUGAAUAUGCUGGCCGAAGGGCGGCCCUUUCUCUUCCUCCCGGCCUGGUGCCUAGAUGGGAGGCAGUUCAUCUCCGAAUCGGAGUCUAAGGCUUCUUCUUCUGCGGUGUUGUGCUAUGGGAGAAGCAGCUGCGGAGGUCCCGACGUACCAAGUGCUAACGUCCCCGGCGACGACGGGAUUGGAUCCGGUUGGGAGAUGAUUUGGACCCGAUUGCAUUUCUUGUUUCCUGUUCGGGGUCCUCCAUGCAAAAAACAGGGACUGGUCUGUAAUUUUCUUUCCUUUGUGUGUCCUGUUGUAAACUACGGUGUGCUAGUGCUACCGAUCUAUGGUUAAUGCAGUUUCUGGGUCGCGUGACCCAUCUUUUGUUCAAAAAAAAGCAAAAGCCAAGAGCAGAUCCGUGGUGGGCACAAAAACUUGGAGAAAACGUAACCACGGCACGUGCAGCCUGUGAUGCGUAUUAUAAGAGGAGUUCACCUCACCUAGCCACAACCUCCAUCCCCGGAACAUCUUGACCAACUGCGCGCACCUCAUCGGCCCGCGCGCCCGCCCGCUAAACCCUACCCUACUCGCCGGCGACAGAGGUUUUCGCGAGCUCGUCCGACAAUGGCGUCUCGCCUCAAGUUUGAGAACUCAUGCGAGGUCGGGGUGUUCGCGAGGCUCACCAACGCCUACUGCCUCGUCCCGGCCGGUGGGGUGGGGAAUUUCACCAGUGUGUUUGAGGCCGAGCUCGCCGACACCGUCCCGGUGGUCAAGGCAUCCAUCGGCGGCAUGAGGAUCCUCGGGACAUUGUGCAUGGGCAACAAGAAGGGCCUUUUCUUCUACCACACACCACCAACGACCAAGAGCUCCAGCACCUCAAGAAUAGCCUGCCUGAUGAGGUGGUCGUCCAGCGUGUCGACGAGCGGCUCUCCGCCCUCGGCAACUGCAUUGCUUGCAACGACCACGUGGCUCUCACAAACCCAGAUCUCACCAGGGAAACCGAGGAGAUCAUCUCGGACGUUCUUGGGGUGGAGGUGUUUAGGCAGACCAUCGCAGGGAGCAUCCUGGUCGGCAGCUCCUGCGCCUUCUCCAACAAAGGGGGACUUGUUCACCCGCAGACGUCGGUGGAGGACCUGGACGAGCUGUCGACGCUGCUGCAGGUGCCCCUCGUCGCCGGCACCGUCAACCGGGGGAGCGAGGGCAUUGCGGCCGGCAUGGUGGUCAACGACUGGGCGGCCUUCUGCGGUUCCGACACCACGGCCACCGAGCUCUCAGUGGUGGAGAGCGUCUUCAGGCUGAGGGACGCCCGGCCGGGGGCAUUGGGCGCAGACGUCAGAAAAUCCUUGGUUGAAAGCUGCUUUCUUUAGGGGAAUUUUGCCUUGAGGGAUUUUCUCCCUUGCUGUAUCUGUGUUUGCCAUGAAUAUUAUGAAGUAGUACUUUUAAGCUCGUGAUAAGACUUUCAAGUAGCAAAGGCCGGAGGGUUUAUCUCUGAAGACCUGAGUUAUAAACAAAAAUGAGGGCACAAAUGACAAUGCAAUA